rnacentral:rRNA from 1 species
UACGAAGGGGGCUAGCGUUGCUCGGAAUUACUGGGCGUAAAGGGAGCGUAGGCGGACAGUUUAGUCAGAGGUGAAAGCCCAGGGCUCAACCCUGGAAUUGCCUUUGAUACUGAUUGUCUUGAGUAUGGGAGAGGUGAGUGGAACUCCAAGUGUAGAGGUGAAAUUCGUAGAUAUUCGGAAGAACACCAGUGGCUAAGGCGACUCACUGGCCCAUUACUGACGCUGAGGCUCGAAAGCGUGGGGAGCAAACAGG